UACGUAGGCGGCGAGUGUUGUUCGGAAUUACUGGGCGUAAAGCGUGCGUAGGCGGUCGGCUAAGUUUGGUGUGAAAUCUCCCGGCUCAACCGGGAGGGUGCGCCGAAAACUGGCCGGCUAGAGUGCGGGAGAGGGAAGUGGAAUUCCUGGUGUAGCGGUGAAAUGCGUAGAUAUCAGGAGGAACACCGGUGGUGAAGACGGCUUCCUGGACCGUGACUGACGCUGAGGCACGAAAGCGUGGGGAGCAAACAGG
rnacentral:rRNA from 1 species